GCCCUCAUAGUUCAACGGAUAGAACGCGCUCCUCCUAAGGGCGAGAUGCAGGUUCAAUUCCUGCUGGGGGCG
rnacentral:tRNA from 1 species